rnacentral:rRNA from 1 species
AACGAACGCUGGCGGCAUGCCUAACACAUGCAAGUCGAACGAGACCUUCGGGUCUAGUGGCGCACGGGUGCGUAACGCGUGGGAACCUGCCCUUAGGUUCGGAAUAACUCCCCGAAAGGGGUGCUAAUACCGGAUAAUGUCUUCGGACCAAAGAUUUAUCGCCUUUGGAUGGGCCCGCGUUGGAUUAGCUAGUUGGUAGGGUAAAAGCCUACCAAGGCGACGAUCCAUAGCUGGUCUGAGAGGAUGAGCAGCCACACUGGGACUGAGACACGGCCCAGACUCCUACGGGAGGCAGCAGUGGGGAAUAUUGGAAAAUGGGCGAAAGCCUGAUCCAGCAAUGCCGCGUGAGUGAUGAAGGCCUUAGGGUUGUAAAGCUCUUUUACCCGGGAUGAUAAUGACAGUACCGGGAGAAUAAGCACCGGCUAACUCCGUG